UACUCUUCGGGGUUGUAGGACUGCAAUAUGGACUCAAAGAUUAUAGAAGAAUGAUUUGGGAAGAUCAGCCAAAGAGAGUAAUAGCCUCGUAUUUAAAAUAGUCUUUGUACUUAGCAGUAUCCUGAGUACGGCGGGACACGUGAAAUCCCGUCGGAAUCUGGGAGGACCAUCUCCCAACCCUAAAUACUCCCUAGUGACCGAUAGUGAACCAGUACCGUGAGGGAAAGGUGAAAAGCACCCCGGGAGGGGAGUGAAAUAGAACCUGAAACCGUGUGCCUACAACAAGUUCGAGCCCGUUAAUGGGUGAGAGCGUGCCUUUUGUAGAAUGAACCGGCGAGUUACGUUAUGAUGCGAGGUUAAGUUGAAGAGACGGAGCCGUAGGGAAACCGAGUCUGAAUAGGGCGCCUUAGUAUCAUGACGUAGACCCGAAACCAUGUGACCUACCCAUGAGCAGGUUGAAGGUGCGGUAAGACGCACUGGAGGACCGAACCAGGGCACGUUGAAAAGUGCUUGGAUGACUUGUGGGUAGCGGAGAAAUUCCAAACGAACUUGGAGAUAGCUGGUUCUCUCCGAAAUAGCUUUAGGGCUAGCGUCGACAUUAGAGAUUCUUGGAGGUAGAGCACUGUUUGGGUGAGGGGUCCAUCCCGGAUUACCAAUCUCAGAUAAACUCCGAAUGCCAAUGAAUUAUGGUCGGCAGUCAGACUGCGAGUGCUAAGAUCCGUAGUCGAAAGGGAAACAGCCCAGACCACCAGCUAAGGUCCCAAAAUAAUUGUUAAGUGGAAAAGGAUGUGGGGUUGCACAGACAACUAGGAUGUUAGCUUAGAAGCAGCUAUUCAUUCAAAGAGUGCGUAAUAGCUCACUAGUCGAGUGACCCUGCGCCGAAAAUGUACCGGGGCUAAAACAAUUUACCGAAGCUGUGGAUACCUUUAUAGGUAUGGUAGGAGAGCGUUCUAUGUGUGAUGAAGGUAUACCGUGAGGAGUGCUGGAACGCAUAGAAGUGAGAAUGCCGGUAUGAGUAGCGAAAGACAGGUGAGAAUCCUGUCCACCGUAAGACUAAGGUUUCCAGGGGAAGGCUCGUCCGCCCUGGGUUAGUCGGGACCUAAGGAGAGACCGAAAGGUGUAUCCGAUGGACAACAGGUUGAUAUUCCUGUACUAGAGUAUGUAGUGAUGGAGGGACGCAGUAGGCUAACUAAAGCAGACGAUUGGAAGAGUCUGUCUAAGCAGUGAGGUGUGAAUUGAGUCAAAUGCUUAAUUCUAUAACAUUGAGCUGUGAUGGGGAGCGAAGUUUAGUAGCGAAGUUAGUGACGUCACACUGCCAAGAAAAGCUUCUAGCGUUUAACCAUACUCUACCCGUACCGCAAACCGACACAGGUAGUCGAGGCGAGUAGCCUCAGGUGAGCGAGAGAACUCUCGUUAAGGAACUCGGCAAAAUGACCCCGUAACUUCGGGAGAAGGGGUGCUGACUUUAAGUCAGCCGCAGUGAAUAGGCCCAAGCAACUGUUUAUCAAAAACACAGCUCUCUGCUAAAUCGUAAGAUGAUGUAUAGGGGGUGACGCCUGCCCGGUGCUGGAAGGUUAAGAGGAGUGCUUAGCGUAAGCGAAGGUAUGAAUUGAAGCCCCAGUAAACGGCGGCCGUAACUAUAACGGUCCUAAGGUAGCGAAAUUCCUUGUCGGGUAAGUUCCGACCCGCACGAAAGGCGUAAUGAUUUGGGCACUGUCUCAACGAGAGACUCGGUGAAAUUUUAGUACCUGUGAAGAUGCAGGUUACCCGCGACAGGACGGAAAGACCCCAUGGAGCUUUACUGCAGUUUGAUAUUGAGUGUCUGUACCACAUGUACAGGAUAGGUAGGAGUCUAAGAGAUCGGGACGCCAGUUUCGAAGGAGACGCUGUUGGGAUACUACCCUUGUGUUAUGGCCACUCUAACCCAGAUAGGUGAUCCCUAUCGGAGACAGUGUCUGACGGGCAGUUUGACUGGGGCGGUCGCCUCCUAAAAGGUAACGGAGGCGCCCAAAGGUUCCCUCAGAAUGGUUGGAAAUCAUUCGCAGAGUGUAAAGGUAUAAGGGAGCUUGACUGCGAGAGCUACAACUCGAGCAGGGACGAAAGUCGGGCUUAGUGAUCCGGUGGUUCCGUAUGGAAGGGCCAUCGCUCAACGGAUAAAAGCUACCCUGGGGAUAACAGGCUUAUCUCCCCCAAGAGUUCACAUCGACGGGGAGGUUUGGCACCUCGAUGUCGGCUCGUCGCAUCCUGGGGCUGUAGUCGGUCCCAAGGGUUGGGCUGUUCGCCCAUUAAAGCGGCACGCGAGCUGGGUUCAGAACGUCGUGAGACAGUUCGGUCCCUAUCCGUCGCGGGCGUAGGAAAUUUGAGAGGAUCUGCUCCUAGUACGAGAGGACCAGAGUGGACUUACCGCUGGUGUACCAGUUGUCUUGCCAAAGGCAUCGCUGGGUAGCUAUGUAGGGAAGGGAUAAACGCUGAAAGCAUCUAAGUGUGAAACCCACCUCAAGAUGAGAUUUCCCAUGAUUAUAUAUCAGUAAGAGCCCUGAGAGAUGAUCAGGUAGAUAGGUUAGAAGUGGAAGUGUGGCGACACAUGUAGCGGACUAAUACUAAUAGCUCGAGGACUUAUCCAA
rnacentral:rRNA from 1 species